UUGCAGCUUGAUCAGAAUACUGUCUUGCUGUCAAUUCUUUGUGUCUCUUGUCCCUUUCAUUCGCCAUUUCCCCUUCUAGGGUCUCUGCUGAAGAUCCCGCUGGCUGGGACAUUACUGGCAUCUUUGUCAGCAAUGCUGUGAUAGCGAAUAUGAAUAGUGGCCAAGGCAAGGAAAGAUACCCAGAUAAGCACAAUAAAUUAGUUCUUCAGUAAGAUCCUGCAUUGAGUCCUGCUUUCCAAUGGAGGAGGUAUGCCAGCGUCAGCCAUAAGUGGAAGAGCCCUGUGCUGCUGAAGCCAACAGAUGCACAUGGCCAGGAGAUGUAACUUGGUAUCCUGGGAUGAGGAGAGGCUUUUUGAGGAAGUUUCGCAUGUUUUCAAGCCUAAGGAUUGAUGUACUUCUUAUUUCUUAUCCAAUUAUCUGUAUGGGGUUUUAUGUCACAGUGAACAUUUAGUUCCUCUCAACAGUAUCUACUCCCCUCUUUAUAAAUAUUUUAAACUCCUCAAUAAAACCAAAAGCACAAGUCUUCAAGACUAUAUUAUUCAUCCAAAUAAAUAUAGGGCUAGAGUUGUCUUUACAGUCUAGAUUCUUGGCUUGAGCUUGUAAAGUGAAUUUUCAGUGUCUCUUAGAGAAUACCCCUUCAAUGCUGUUCAUUCCCACAGAAUGAGCAAUAUCUUGCUGAGUUUUUGUAUUAAAAAAAGAAAUGUUGCUUUUUUGUCCUCUCUCCCUAGGAGGAUUACUAAAUGACAGAGCAGUCCAUUCUUCUCUUCUAGAGUUAAUUGCAUUUUAAUGAAGAACACACCAUGUUGUGUUCAACUGACUGACAAACACUCCUUGAUGACUCAGAAGCAAGCUAAGAAGGAAGCUAUAGCACUUUCUUAUUUACCCUAAACCAUACUCUAUUGUCAAUUAAGCAUGGCAUAAAAGGGGAAUGCUCAGGUUUUUUUUUUUUUUUUCAAAUUAGCAACCAAUGAUUAGAAGAUGUACUAAUUGAGGUUAGCAAUGAUGACUCUGAUUUUCCAACCUGGACACUAGCUGGAAUCACAGUUUGCAUCAUGGGUAACACUGCAGUAACAGAAGUGUACCAGCUGAAGACAAGUUUUGAAUAGUACAUGAUCUCAUAUGGGCAGAGGAAAUUAUUUUGUUACCACAGUUAUUAAUGCACAUAAUGGAGGAAAUUUGAGGAGAAAAUUUUGUCCACAGCAAAGAUGAUUAGUUAAAGAUUCAAAUGAGAAAGUAUUAUAUAAAUACGGGAAGGAGGAAACAAGUAUGCUGAGUGGCUAACACACUUGUUCUUAAACUAGCAAGAGAUCAACCAGAGUGGGAGUCAUGGAAGAGAGGUUCCCUGGUAGGAACUGUAGUCUCGAAGGGUGGCAGUGGUUGACUACAUGAUGCUAAAGCUGGGAAGAAAUGUUCAUAUUUCUUCUCUGGUGCUCUCAAAUCUUCUACAGAUGCCUGUAUAUGUUUUCGCAGGCUAUAAUAAAGCUCAGUUGACAAAAGAGGCAAAAAGAGUUUGUCUUGU